GGGCCCGCACAAGCGGUGGAGCAUGUGGUUUAAUUCGAUGAUACGCGAGGAACCUUACCAGGGCUUAAAUGUAACGGGACAGAUCUAGAGAUAGAUCCUUCUUCGGACUCAUUACAAGGUGCUGCAUGGUUGUCGUCAGCUCGUGCCGUGAGGUGUCAGGUUAAGUCCUAUAACGAGCGCAACCCCCAUCGUUAGUUGCCAACGAGUAAUGUCGGGAACUCUAACGAAACUGCCGGUGCAAACCGUGAGGAAGGUGGGGAUGACGUCAAAUCAUCACGGCCCUUACGUCCUGGGCUACACACGUGCUACAAUGGUCGGUACAGAGAGCAGCCACUACGCGAGUAGGAGCAAAUCUUCAAAGCCGAUCUCAGUUCGGAUCGGAGUCUGCAACUCGACUCCAUGAAGCUGGAGUUGCUAGUAAUCCCGGAU
rnacentral:rRNA from 1 species